AGAGUUUGAUCCUGGCUCAGGAUGAACGCUGGCGGCGUGCUUAACACAUGCAAGUCGAACGCACCUUCGGGUGAGUGGCGGACGGGUGAGUAACGCGUGAGAAUCUGCCCUCAGGAGGGGGAUAACGACUGGAAACGGCCGCUAAUACCCCAUAUGCCGAGAGGUGAAACGAGUUUUCGCCUGAGGAUGAGCUCGCGUCUGAUUAGCUAGUUGGUGGGGUAAGAGCCUACCAAGGCAUCGAUCAGUAGCUGGUCUGAGAGGAUGAUCAGCCACACUGGGACUGAGACACGGCCCAGACUCCUACGGGAGGCAGCAGUGGGGAAUUUUCCGCAAUGGGCGAAAGCCUGACGGAGCAACGCCGCGUGAGGGAUGAAGGCCUCUGGGCUGUAAACCUCUUUUCUCAAGGAAGAAGAUCUGACGGUACUUGAGGAAUAAGCCACGGCUAAUUCCGUGCCAGCAGCCGCGGUAAUACGGGAGUGGCAAGCGUUAUCCGGAAUUAUUGGGCGUAAAGCGUCCGCAGGCGGUCUUGAAAGUCUGUUGUUAAAGCGUGGAGCUUAACUCCAUUUCAGCAAUGGAAACUAGAAGACUAGAGUGUGGUAGGGGCAGAGGGAAUUCCCGGUGUAGCGGUGAAAUGCGUAGAUAUCGGGAAGAACACCAGUGGCGAAGGCGCUCUGCUGGGCCAUAACUGACGCUCAUGGACGAAAGCCAGGGGAGCGAAAGGGAUUAGAUACCCCUGUAGUCCUGGCCGUAAACGAUGAACACUAGGUGUCGGGGGAAUCGACCCCCUCGGUGUCGUAGCCAACGCGUUAAGUGUUCCGCCUGGGGAGUACGCACGCAAGUGUGAAACUCAAAGGAAUUGACGGGGGCCCGCACAAGCGGUGGAGUAUGUGGUUUAAUUCGAUGCAACGCGAAGAACCUUACCAGGGUUUGACAUCCUGCGAACCCCUUGGAAACGAGGGGGUGCCUUCGGGAGCGCAGAGACAGGUGGUGCAUGGCUGUCGUCAGCUCGUGUCGUGAGAUGUUGGGUUAAGUCCCGCAACGAGCGCAACCCACGUCUUUAGUUGCCAGCAUUCAGUUGGGCACUCUAGAGAGACCGCCGGUGAUAAACCGGAGGAAGGUGUGGAUGACGUCAAGUCAUCAUGCCCCUUACAUCCUGGGCUACACACGUACUACAAUGCUACGGACAAAGGGCAGCAAACUCGCGAGAGCUAGCAAAUCCCAUAAACCGUGGCUCAGUUCAGAUCGUAGGCUGCAACUCGCCUACGUGAAGGAGGAAUCGCUAGUAAUCGCAGGUCAGCAUACUGCGGUGAAUACGUUCCCGGGCCUUGUACACACCGCCCGUCACACCAUGGAAGUUGGCCACGCCCGAAGUCGUUACUCCAACCCUUGUGGAGGAGGACGCCGAAGGUGGGGCUGAUGACUGGGGUGAAGUCGUAACAAGGUA
rnacentral:rRNA from 1 species